GUAGGGUGCAAGCGUUGUCCGGAAUUAUUGGGCGUAAAGAGCUCGUAGGCGGUUUGUCGCGUCUGCUGUGAAAAUCCAGGGCUUAACCCUGGACCUGCAGUGGGUACGGGCAGACUGGAGUGCGGUAGGGGAGAUCGGAAUUCCUGGUGUAGCGGUGAAAUGCGCAGAUAUCAGGAGGAACACCGGUGGCGAAGGCGGAUCUCUGGGCCGUAACUGACGCUGAGGAGCGAAAGCAUGGGGAGCGAACAGGAUUAGAUACCCUGGUAGUCCAUGCCGUAAACGUUGGGCGCUAGGUGUGGGGCUCAUUCCACGAGUUCUGUGCCGCAGCAAACGCAUUAAGCGCCCCGCCUGGGGAGUACGGCCGCAAGGCUA
rnacentral:rRNA from 1 species